GAUGAACGCUGGCGACGUGCCUAAUACAUGCAAGUCGAGCGAACAGACGAGGAGCUUGCUCCUCUGACGUUAGCGGCGGACGGGUGAGUAACACGUGGAUAACCUACCUAUAAGACUGGGAUAACUUCGGGAAACCGGAGCUAAUACCGGAUAAUAUAUUGAACCGCAUGGUUCAAUAGUGAAAGACGGUUUUGCUGUCACUUAUAGAUGGAUCCGCGCCGCAUUAGCUAGUUGGUAAGUUAACGGCUUACCAAGGCGACGAUGAGUUGCCGACCUGUGAGGGUGAUCGUCCACACUGGGACUGAGACACGGUCCAGACUCCUAGGGGAGGCAGCAGUAGGGAAUCUUCCGCAAUGGGCGAAAGCCUGACGGAGCAACGCAGCGUGGGUGAUGAAGGUCUUCGGAUCGUAAAACUCUGUUAUUAGUGAAGAACAAAUGUGUAAGUAACUAUGCACGUCUUGACGGUACCUAAUCAGAAAGCCACGGCUAACUACGUG
rnacentral:rRNA from 1 species